rnacentral:rRNA from 1 species
UACGAAGGGAGCAAGCGUUACUCGGAUUUACUGGGCGUAAAGGGUGCGUAGGCGGCCUGAUUAGUCAGAUGUGAAAGCCCAGGGCUUAACCCUGGAACUGCAUUUGAUACUGUCAGGCUUGAGUAUAAGAGAGGUAAGUGGAAUUCCCAGUGUAGCAGUGAAAUGCGUAGAUAUUGGGAGGAACAUCAGUGGCGAAGGCGACUUACUGGCUUAUAACUGACGCUGAGGCACGAAAGCGUGGGGAGCAAACAGG